ensembl:lncRNA
GUGACUAAUUGGCCACACUUCCACCAAAGGCUCGGCGGCAGAUGCGCUGCGGUUCGCUUCCCUCGCUCCCGCGGAGGCCGGCGGUUUGGCUGCGAGGAGCGGAGGUUCUACGUGAGCCCGGCGAGCAGGACGAGGAAACUCCCGGGGAUGGCCGGAGAGCGAGUCCUUGCGGAGCAGGAGAAUUUGGAUCCUGGACGCGGCGGCAGCACCCGGAGAAUUACCAGGAGAUUAUCAUGAAGAGUGAUCAUGACACUGAAGGACCAUUGAGGGAUUGACCAGAAAUCAAAUCAAGCGAGGGUGUAAUGACUUUAUAAUAAUACAGUGGGAUUGUCUGUGGAAUCGUUUCAUCAACUACGUGAUACGGCCAAAUAAAUGAAGAAGUGACUCUGUCAUUUACAAGGAAUCAGCCUUGGGAAAGUUGCUUCAACUCCAUUUGCUUCAGACUGCAAGCACAAAUGAACAAAUGGACUGUGGCAUGAUGGGUCAAGGAAUGCACCUCUCUUUGCUUGGAUUAUGAAGAGCCAUCUCCAAGAUAUGCAUGAAUAGAAACAUACAUUUCUCCUUGUUUUGCUUCUCUUCAGGCUGGCUAGAAAGUAGAUGUGAUCAUCUGAGCUCAGGCAGCCGUCUUGGACCAUGAGGUGGUAAAGCAUAAGAACAGAAGGAACCUGGGCCUUGAUGACCCUGUGGGUACGAGGCAGCUUCCGUUUUGAUAUACCAGAGAGAAACCAACUUUUAUCUUGUCUCUUAAUUGUCACUCAAGCCAGAACAUCUGUCAUCAGUGAUGUGUGGAGCCAGCUCACCCCAGCUCACAGAAGCCACUUUUUACAAAUUCAAAACUUUGCAAACCAGUUGUUAAAAUACACCCAUCAGUAAAAUUUAAACUAUAAAAAUUAUAAUGUAAUAAAUUAUGU